AUUAUGUCCUGUCUAAUACUGAUCAAUGAAAAUUAUAACAAGUUGAUAAAGUCUCGCUUAAGGACAAGACCAAAUUUAUGUUUUAUUAUCCUAGCGCCUGAAUUACUAUAAUCUUUUUAUGGUGCUCGAGAAACGUAGAACGACAAUU